rnacentral:rRNA from 1 species
AUGUGGCCCGACAACUACUCAAUUACGCAUUAUCGUCCACACAAGGUGGUGCACUCGGACGUCAAUGUGCGCUACACGGUUGCAUGUGCAUGUGAAGAUGAAAUAUGUCCGUGGAUUGUGCGUGCAAGACCAUGGAAAGGAGGUCCCACUUGGCACGUAGUGAGUUGUGUGCCAACUCACAUGUGCCAAGGCAAAAGGGUGGAUGGCAAGAUUGUGUCCCAAGACCACAAACAACUCACAUCCGAGUUCAUCGCUUACAGGCUCUCCAACUCAAUAUCCACACUUCCAACAAUGAGCGUCCAACAUGUCAUUGACCUUGUGAAAGCCAUCUUUCAUUACAAGGUGAAGUACGGCAAGGCAUGGAAGGCGAAGCAAGCCGCAUUUAAAAUGUUGUAUGGUACUUGGGAGGAAGCAUACAACCGAAUCCCUAGGUUGUUGUUAGCCAUGGCCGCGACAAACCCGGGCAUGGUUCAUGUGAUCGAGCCUCAUGGGCACCAAACAACGGUUCAUGAAGGAAGGAAAGUCUGA